AUGAUAUAAUGAUGACCGCAUAGUUCAGCAGAAUAACCAUGAAGAACAAUCAGCAUUGUCUUUCGCUCCUAUCUGAUGUGUCAA
ensembl:snoRNA small nucleolar RNA snR60/Z15/Z230/Z193/J17